rnacentral:lncRNA from 12 species
GAACUACACAGGACCCGAGGAGAGAAAUCCCUGGCGUCAUUGCCCGGGUUGUUAUUCGAAAGUUCUAGGAUGAAACACAGAAAUCUGGACUUUGAAAACCUCCUCUGGCGAUCCAGACAGCAAUGGCACUGUUUGGGAAGCACCACGUAAGCCUCUACCUUUUAUUUCAUAUACAAGGAAAAUGCAUUCUAACUACAAAGCUGAGUCAUUGCCCCCACCCCGGAUCUCAUGCUCCCUGAGUCUCCCCACCUCUUUGUCUUACAAGACACGGCCCAUGCAGCCUGAGCGAUGCCCAUCGAGCUGGUGCGGGGAAGUCUGACCGGUGGGUGCCCACGCGGAGCACUCGUGAGGACCGCACAGCCCGGGCUCCAGUAUUAUUCUGCUGCUAUAUGAGUUAGGAGUGUCUCACUCCUUCCCGGCAUUCCCCUCAUGUUCCAAAUAAAAAGUGUGAAGGAAAUGGCAUCUCACGUCGGUAGCACCUAAGUCCAUUCUGCUCUGAUGAAGUGACAAGCUGUGCCAGGCCGUGAUUGUCUUUGCUCAGGACCCCCGCUUCACUGGCCUACCCACUGCUGGCGAAUCUGCCCACAGGACCCGCCAGAGAGGGAGAGAGCGGCAUGCCCUGGGGACGUAUGCCUGGCAUCGCAAGGGGACGGUCCCUCAGAUGUGUGACCACGCUCCAGGCGCGAUCCCGCCAGGGUGAGUCAUGCAUACCAUGUGCUCAAAUGUGCCGGCCUGAGUGAUCACAGGAGAUCAAAAGUCAGACUCAGAGCAGGAAGUGCUUCUAAAAUUAUAGCCCCCUCCCUGAACUUGACCUUCCUGCUAUCUGUUCUUUGUGAUGGGGCAUAAUUGAGCCAGCUCUGGUUACAGGGACAGAGGCCUGGGACUGCCAAAUGGUCAGACAGAAGGUGACCUUGCCGCAGCAUCGGCCUCAGAACAGGGCCUCUUUGUGCAGGCGAGGUAGGGGCCAGGAUCCGUUCCCAGGUUUGUGGCUGCAGAUCACGCUCGGCUUCAGUGCCCAGCACGCACACGUUUCUCAGGAUGGAUUUUCUGUUCAAAGGAAGCAUGAAUUUGAUGUUCAAUCCUUGGAAAUCCCUUCUUACUGCAGCCUGCCAUCAAGGGCCCAUCGUUGCCGGCUCCCACAGUACCGUGGAAAGAAGCCAUCUGAGUGGAUUCCUUGCAAACAGGAGAGAGACUGAGCUUGUCCCUUUUCCGGGGAUUAAUUUGUUGGCCAAGAAAACAGGAGAGACUCCACAAUCCUUUUCCUUUUCUCCCUGCCCAUGCCCCACAGAAUUCUUCAAUUCUGCUUUCAUACAAUAAGAAACAAGCCCAUUUCAAACACCGAUUUAACCUACAUCCUGAUGAAGUAAAAUAGAAAUUAAAAAGCCAAAGAGAGGCAUGUUAUAUUUUGUGCCUGUUGACGUGUUGGAUCAUUUUAGAGCAGAUGUGCCCAGUGUUGAGAAGUUGUGCUGGAACUGGCACACCUGUCCCCUGUGGUGGCCUUGACAUUUGACACAAUUAAGAAAGUAGCAUGGCAACAAAAACAAAAACCCACUCACAGGAAGAUGCUCUGGGAGGCAUCCUCAAUAAAUUUUCUACUGGAAAUGACUUUGAGAUUCA